GUGUCAGCCGCCGCGGUAAUACGGAGGGUGCGAGCGUUGUCCGGAAUCACUGGGCGUAAAGGGCGCGUAGGUGGCGCGGGCAGUCAACGGUGAAAGUUCGGGGCUCAACCCUGAAUCGGCCGUCGAUACUCCCGUGCUUGAGCACUGUAGAGGCAGAUGGAAUUCCGGGUGUAGCGGUGGAAUGCGUAGAGAUCCGGAAGAACACCGGUGGCGAAGGCGGUCUGCUGGGCAGUAGCUGACACUGAGGCGCGACAGCGUGGGGAGCAAACAGGAUUAGAAACCCCCGUAGUCC
rnacentral:rRNA from 1 species